GAAGGAGGAAAACGAACCUUACUGGGCUCCUCCUUUUGCGGAGAGACGGAGGCCGUCGCGCGUUCCUCUGGGAAGUGUAGUAAUGUGGAGGUCUCCGGGUGUUCCUUUGUGUGCCCGACUCCCGGUGUCAGGAGGAGGGGUUUCGGGAGGACGGGAAGUGGCUGAUGGUGCUGCUUAUGGACAUCUAACCAUGUGCUUCCUGCUUAUCCCUCAGCUUGAAUUUUCCUCCUACCCUGUGACGCUGAGAGGCUUCCAGGCUUAGAUUUCGAUCAAAUAAUUUUUAGAGGUCUGUUGAGAAAUGGAGGAAAGUAUUUAAAAGAAACAAAUGAUAACGACCCUAAAUUAUACCGCAGCUGUCGCUGCUCAUCGGACAUUUUAUGGCGUAACGAAGAACCAUGGCGCUGUGCACCGGGAGGAUACAUUUUAAGUGGGUCAUUUGUACAUCUGAGAACCUCAGACUGGAACAGCUAUUGUACCUGGAUCCUGCCCCUUCCAGAAACCAGUGACUCAAGCCUCAAGUCUUCAAAGUGUUUGAAGGGCCUGGGAGAACUGGUAGGACCCAGAGACACAGAAGAUUCAGAAAAGGACACUCUUGGCUACGGCUCCCCUAGCUACUGAGACUGGCUUCUGGAUUCCCUCCUUAUGGUUGUGAACUGAUGGCCUCUACCUAGAUGUGAAGGUUAAUGAAACUUCAUAACCACCUCUUCCACCCUGGCUUUUUGGGGGUAUGCCAAGGGGCAGCUGCAAAAACAGCAAGUAAUAAUUCCUUGGAAACAUGCUGGAUCCAGCAUUUUUAUGUGAUGAUCUGAUUUUUAUUUGGAAACCCUGUUUGCAAAAUGAAAGCCCGAAUGAGCAUCUGCUACAUACAGUUAGGGGCAGCAUGGUGCUGGGGAAAGGUAACUGACUGAGGAGUCACCCUGGACUUGUGUCUAACAGGCUGUGUGAUCUUGGACAAGGUUCGAUGCCUCUGGGCCCCAGUUUUCUCAUGAGUAAAAUGUAAACAUUACACUGUAUCUUUAAGCUUCUUCCUACGUUAAUGUGAAUGCUUUAAAAAAAAAAGGCUGGUCACAUCUGCAGUCAACCUAUAUUAAGCAUCUUUCACGUGAUCAUUUGCCUGAGUCUGAUCUAUUUUUAUUGUUUAGUUUUUCUAACACCGUUCACUUAACCCCUCCACUGCCAGUGCCUUCCUCACUUGCAAGGUCUUCACUAUUUUUUUGUCUUCUUUAAAU